CCUACCAGCAGGGUGUCCUGUCUGCCACUGUCCUCUACGAGGUCCUGCUGGGGAAGGCUGCCCUGUACGCCGCGCUGGUCAGCGCCUUGGUCCUGGUGGCCAUGGUCAAGAAGAAGAACGCCUAAAGCUUCCCUAAGGGCAGAAAGGGGAGGCCCACACAGCAACCUGCCUUCCUCUGACCAGCGGGCUCCUGCCAGCGCUCCCAGCUCCCCCAGACUCACCACGCCACGUGCAAGCAACCUUCACACCCCCGUCCCCUUGACCCCCCACCAGGGCCUGAACCCUGGGACCCACACAAUAAACAUGGUCUGUUUGGCUUGCUC